AUUGAACGCUGGCGGAAUGCUUUACACAUGCAAGUCGAACGGUAGAGGGGGCAACCCCUUGAGAGUGGCGAACGGGUGAGUAAUAUAUCGGAACGUGCCCAGUCGUGGGGAUAACGUAGCGAAAGUUACGCUAAUACCGCAUACGAUCUACGGAUGAAAGCGGGGGACUCGCAAGAGCCUCGCGCGAUUGGAGCGGCCGAUAUCAGAUUAGGUAGUUGGUGGGGUAAAGGCUCACCAAGCCAACGAUCUGUAGCUGGUCUGAGAGGACGACCAGCCACACUGGAACUGAGACACGGUCCAGACUCCUACGGGAGGCAGCAGUGGGGAAUUUUGGACAAUGGACGCAAGUCUGAUCCAGCCAUUCCGCGUGCAGGAUGAAGGCCCUCGGGUUGUAAACUGCUUUUGUACGGAACGAAAAGGUUUCUAUUAAUACUAGGAGCUCAUGACGGUACCGUAAGAAUAAGCACCGGCUAACUACGU
rnacentral:rRNA from 1 species